rnacentral:misc_RNA from 1 species
UUUCCGUAGGUGAACCUGCGGAAGGAUCAUUAUUGAAUAAACUUGGUUGGGUUGUUCCUGGAUACUCGGAGCAUGUGCACGCUCGCUCCAUUUUUAACCACCUGUGCACCUUGUGUAGAUCUGAACAACUCUCGGGGUAUCUCGCUCAGAGGAUUGCUGUGUGUAGAAGUCAGCUUUUCUUGCGUUCAGAUCUAUGUCUCUAUAUACACCAUAAGAAUGUAUUGGAAUUUAAUUGACACGUGUUACAGCCUUUAAAAAUCAAAUACAACUUUCAACAACGGAUCUCUUGGCUCUC